AGAAACUCUCUUACGAUGGAAGAUGAAAGUUUGGCAUCACUUAAGUCAGGAGUCGUGGCAAACACACAUCACUAGCUAUGUCUUUGUUGACAAAUAAAUAUGGUACGGGAAUACAAGCAGUAGUACAUGGCAACAAGGAUCAGAAAUUUGUAAAAUUGUCUUGAAACACCUUCUUAACUAACCAAACAGAUCAUUACGUAAGGCUGCAAGGAAGAAUGGAAGACGAAAGUAAAAAAGACGACAUCCCACUGGUUGUUUUCACUCUCAUAGAUAUCGGGUACCGAUAAAGCUAGAAUUGGCAGGGAAGCCAUCGAGAAAACAAAGGGUCCAGUUAUUAUAGCGGUUACCGGAAUGAGGGUCAUCAGCUACUCAGGGAGACCCUAGCUUCAAUCGACAACCAACACAUUUCUAUUCCUCAAUCCAGAAAUUCCAGUGACCGAAAACCUUCUAAACAGGGAUUGUUUGAAAGCUAUUUAGGGUGGUUUGAAGGCUGUUUGGAUCCGAUGCAGAUUAUAAGACCAGCAUUUCAAAAAGGCACGAACCAAACCGAUACAAAUAUACAGCUGCCACAAGACGCACGAAUAGUUCAACAUUAGCAUACCUAGCUCCGAACCCUUUGUAAAGCAGUCCAUGAUCGGUUACAUGUGAAGGUCAUGGCACUCUGUUUAGCUAAAACCAUGCAGCAAAUCUCUUGCAACAUAUUUAUGAUCAGUUACAUACAAAGAUCAUGACAUGAAACUGGUUGUAAUCAAAGUCGAACAUUAACUUUUGAGAAAAACUCAUAUCCGCAUAUAACGCAUCCCGUUGUUAACUAUAUGUAACAUACGUACUUCU